AGUGAAGGAAGAGACUAGGUCAUAUUGAGUAGCCAUUACAAUCAUUUGGGACAUAAUUUCGAUAGUUGUUUUCAAUUGAUCGACUAUCCCGGUUGGUGGGGAGAGCGACCACAUGAUGUUGCACAAGGAGCCAAGUGAGGGAAGGAAGAAAUGCACUAAGGAGGCAGGCUCGUGGAUGGCUAGUUAAAGAUGAUGUGAUGUAAACAACAAGUAGCAACACUAUGAAAAUUGUUAACAACCUGAGUAAUGAGUAGUGGGAAGUGCUUCUCAAUUUUUUUUUGUAAUGUAAAGACAGGGGACA
rnacentral:lncRNA from 1 species